AUUGGACGCUGGCGGCAGGCCUAACACAUGCAAGUCGAGCGGAUGACGGGAGCUUGCUCCUUGAUUCAGCGGCGGACGGGUGAGUAAUGCCUAGGAAUCUGCCUGGUAGUGGGGGACAACGUUUCGAAAGGAACGCUAAUACCGCAUACGUCCUACGGGAGAAAGCAGGGGACCUUCGGGCCUUGCGCUAUCAGAUGAGCCUAGGUCGGAUUAGGUAGUAGGUCGUGGAGGUAAUGGCUCACCUAGGCGACGAUCCGUAACUGGUCUGAGAGGAUGGCGAGUCACACUGGAACUGGGAUCCGCUCCAGAUGACUACGGGCGGCAGCAGUGGGGAUAAUGGGACAAUGGGCGAACGCCUGAUCCAGCCACGCCGCGUGUGUGAAGAAGGUCUUCGGAUUGUAAAGCACUUUAAGUUGGGAGGAAGGGCAGUAAGUUAAUCCCUUGCUGUUUUUACGUUACCGACAGAAUAAGCACCGGCUAACUCUGUGCCAGCCGCCGCAGUAAAAC
rnacentral:rRNA from 1 species